GUUUUCCUUCAGAGAUUAUUCACAGAUGUCCCACAGCCCAUAGCAAAUACAGGGCAUAUUAAGUUCAAAUAAAUAUAUGCAAAUAUGUGUGGAAAUGGCCUGUAGCCUGCAGGAGCCUGAGGAGAAGAGAGGAGCUAGCAGCCCCAGUCAAGUCUAGCGAAGUGCAUCUUGGCCUGCAGUGAUGGCUGUUUCCCCCAGAAAGUUCUUCCACUUCUGGAUCCCACCUCGACUGAACCUUACACAAUCUACUGCUGGACUUUCCAAUGGCAUGAGUUGGAUGCAAAUCACAGGCAGAUGAUUCCCAAAGACUCUUCUCCUCCGCCCAGAUCUUGAUGUCCUACCAUCCCCUGAAGUUGAUGUAUGUGGGGUUCUGAAAGGUCUCAACACGUGGCAGUAGGCAGCAGAAUUAAUUCCCUGUGCCUCCUGCAAUUCCCUGAGCCUCCCUUUCUCAAAACGCCAGCUUUCUCACAAGGAUAGCCUGAGACAUACGGAAGUGGGAAUGAUGUUCUGUUCUCAGGUGAAGUGUUUGUGCAUAUGUGUGUGUCGGGGGAGAGGAAGGUAAGCAAAACCAGUUGUUCUCAGAUGACUUGCAGCACCUGAGCAUGUCCUUUAUUUUAUCUUUUUUUUAAAAAAAAUACUUAAUAGCAUUUUCACUUCCUAGUUUCUCCAUUAUGUUGAAGUUGAAUAGUCUUUGGUAGGUCUUGUCUUACUUUUCAAGAACAUUAUGGGAAUUCUGCAAAAAGAUAGCUACAUGCAAAGCUAUCAUUUCUAUUGUUACAAAAAUAUGUGACACACUUACCUUAUGCUAUCAAAGAUGAAUGCUAUCCUCCACAUAUCCUUUAAAUGGGCUUCACAAGAAGAGGAUGGUCCCAUUUCUGAACAUUGCCUUGUCAAUGGAUGAGGAGGUUUGCACUCAGUCAAACUGGUUAAGCUAGAAUCAUAUUUCCCUAAAUCUCUUGUCCUGUUUAUUUCCAGGUGAUGAUUGGCCAAUAAAAUAAAUUUAGACGUGAUUUGGAUAGUAAAAAUGAAGCCACAGUCACUGAUCACUGAAGAUCAUUGUGGGUACAGGUGGGAGCUAAGAGCUAGCAAGGUAUCAGUGGGAUUUACAAGUCUUUUCUUUAUUCUUUAUCCUGCUCUUCUUGUCAAUUGCCAGAUUUCCUGACCAACAAAGGGCCCAGGCCGACUGCCACAAGUCUGAAUGCAGACCUGCAGAAGCAGCAGCAACUCAAAAGGACAGCAUUCCACAGACCUUCCCUGCACUGCCCUUCAUAGCCCACUCUGCAGCUGGACCUGCCUACUCGCCAUACACCCUGAAAGCUCCCACUUAUCCACCUAACCUCAACUUGCUCUAGUGUUCGAGGAGGGCUGAGUGGUGGUUUUCCUCGGGCCUUCCAACACUUGCCCUUCUCCCCCAAGUAUUACAAGCCCUCAUUCUAAAUAUAUCCCUGAUUUCAUAAUACUAAUAGAAGUGCUGCUUCUCUGAUUAAACCCUGACUGACACAUGGAGUGUUUUAUUACCAUUUAAUAAACAUCAUGUCAAACCUAAUGAUUUACGGUCAACAUAAAUUACACAGGGAAGGUGAGCAAAAGAAUCCCUUUCCUUUUUGCCUCUAUGCUGUUCUAGUUUCAGCUGGCCUGAGCUUCCCUCUCUUGGACUCUUCAGUCUAACAGCUAACCCAUAUAUGACACAAAGAUCAAAGGUCAGAUUCUUGGGCUCCAUUAAGGCUGCUACUUUAAAUGACAGCACUAUUUAUGGACUCUUUAUUGAAGACAGAUCACCCUUGGAGGCUGCCACAACCUUUACUCAUAAAUCAGACAUCAAGUGCCUCUUGGGGGCUAAAUACUGCCUCUCCUGUUGAAGACAUGAAGGGGUGUAACAUAUACUCAAUUUGCUGCCACACAAGGAUUUAGAAUCUGCUUACUCCCUCAACCUAGGACUCAAGGUCCAGACAAGGAAAUUUGAUUUUUUUUUUCUUCCUUUUUCUUUCCCUGCCAGCCACACACACCAG
rnacentral:lncRNA from 1 species